ensembl:lncRNA
CCGCACCGCAGAGGGAAAUGGACACCACCUGAUACGCAUGUUCCUGAUUCCUAUCCGGAAUCUAUCUCUUUUAGAGGUUGUCAGAUGGUGGAUUACAAUAAUACGCUCAAAAGGUCAAGCCAGAUGAAACAUGAGCUCAAUGCCCGUACUAACAGGGGUCGCAGACUAUAAGGGGACACCAGAGAUGCCGCUGAUGAUCUGAACUAAAGACCGUGGGAGCCCAAUCUCUGGAACGGUGGUGAUGUCACAGAGCGGAAGCAACCUCUUGGGGCCCAUGGAGUUGGGACUGGGUCACAUGUCUCAAAUUCCUUGACACCAAGGACACCA